UACGUAGGUGGCAAGCGUUGUCCGGAUUUACUGGGCGUAAAGAGCGCGCAGGCGGUCAGAUAAGUCGAAUGUGAAAGCCCCUGGCUCAACUGGGGAGGGUCAUUCGAUACUGUUCGACUCGAAGGCAGGAGAGGGAAGCGGAAUUCCCGGUGUAGUGGUGAAAUGCGUAGAUAUCUGGAGGAACACCGGUGGCGAAGGCGGCAUCCUGGACCGGUAUUGACGCUGAGGCGCGAAAGCCAGGGGAGCAAACGGG
rnacentral:rRNA from 1 species